rnacentral:misc_RNA from 1 species
GUGAGGGCGAAAAUGGACUUUUAUUGAAUAGUAGCUGGCCAACUUGGCUUGAGUUGCUCGAGCUUAUCGUCAUUGGAUUCCAAGAAAAGAGAGCGAUUGGGAAUUGGAUCCUGGAAAGUAUCUACCAAAGAGAUGGGCAUGGUUGUUAUGUUGUUAGCGCUAAGAAUCGAGGUGUUGACGCUUGACCUAAAUUUAAGCAUGGAGUAAGUAAACACAAGAGUAGCCAAAUGAGUCACUAGAGCACAUGGUAAGCCUAAAGAGACUAUCGUAAAGCCCUAAAGAGAUCCCAGCUAACUUCAAGGCAAAGGAAUAACAUUUUGGCUGAUUCUGAUAAUUAAAUAAACUUCGAAACGCCACUUUUCCACUUAAUCAAGGUACAUAACGAGAAGGAUCUGAACUCACUAAUUUCUGGCCUU